AAAUUGACUGGCACUUUAAUCUUGAACUUCCAGUCGCCAGAGCUGUUGGGAUAUCUCAGAAGCAGAACCUGAGACAAGAAAGUGAGUGGAAGCACUUUAUUUGGGAGAAAGUCCCAGAAAGCACUGGUAGCUUGCACACUUGGAACACUGACUCUGAGGGAGGAUAACUACCCUAUUGUGAAGCUACUCACGAGCUUUGCAGUGAGAUCCAAAGAUGAUUCUAUGAGUAGUCAUGAGGAAUGAAAGCCUCCAGACAACCAUUGCAUGAGAGAGUUAGGAAGAGGACCCGCUAGUACCUAUCAAGUCUAUAGAGGGGAAACACUGAGCCGGAACCACCCAGCUAAGCUUCUCCCAAAUUCUUGGUUCAUUCACAAAAGCUGUGAAAAGUUUGUUCUUUUAAGCCAUUGAGUUUUGGAAUAAUUUGUUAAGCAGCAGUAGGUAACUAUUAAAAAUAAAAUUAUGUAGAUUUUUC